UACAGAGGGGGCAAGCGUUAUUCGGAAUUAUUGGGCGUAAAGGGCGCGUAGGCGGCUUUUCAAGUGACGGGUGAAAUCCCUCGGCUUAACCGAGGAACUGCCUGUCAGACUGGAAGGCUUGAGACCGGGGAGAGGUGAGUGGAAUUCCCAGUGUAGCGGUGAAAUGCGUAGAUAUUGGGAGGAACACCAGUGGCGAAGGCGGCUCACUGGACCGGAACUGACGCUGAGGUGCGAAAGCGUGGGGAGCAAACAGG
rnacentral:rRNA from 1 species